AGAGUUUGAUCAUGGCUCAGAUUGAACGCUGGCGGAAUGCUUUACACAUGCAAGUCGAACGGCAGCACGGGGGCAACCCUGGUGGCGAGUGGCGAACGGGUGAGUAAUGUAUCGGAACGUACCCAGUCGUGGGGGAUAACUAUCCGAAAGGAUAGCUAAUACCGCAUACGUCCUGAGGGAGAAAGCGGGGGAUCGCAAGACCUCGCGCGAUUGGAGCGGCCGAUAUCGGAUUAGCUAGUUGGUGAGGUAAAGGCUCACCAAGGCGACGAUCCGUAGCGGGUCUGAGAGGACGACCCGCCACACUGGAACUGAGACACGGUCCAGACUCCUACGGGAGGCAGCAGUGGGGAAUUUUGGACAAUGGGGGAGACCCUGAUCCAGCCAUUCCGCGUGAGUGAAGAAGGCCUUCGGGUUGUAAAGCUCUUUCAGCAGGAACGAAACGGCCGACUUUAAUAAAGUCGGCUAAUGACGGUACCUGCAGAAGAAGCACCGGCUAACUACGUGCCAGCAGCCGCGGUAAUACGUAUGGUGCGAGCGUUAAUCGGAAUUACUGGGCGUAAAGCGUGCGCAGGCGGCGACAUAAGACAGAUGUGAAAUCCCCGGGCUCAACCUGGGAACUGCGUUUGUGACUGUGUUGCUAAAGUGUAGCAGAGGGGGGUGGAAUUCCACGUGUAGCAGUGAAAUGCGUAGAGAUGUGGAGGAACACCGAUGGCGAAGGCAGCCCCCUGGGUUAACACUGACGCUCAUGCACGAAAGCGUGGGGAGCAAACAGGAUUAGAUACCCUGGUAGUCCACGCCCUAAACGAUGCCAACUAGGUGUUGGGGAAGGAGACUUCCUUAGUACCGUAGCUAACGCGUGAAGUUGGCCGCCUGGGGAGUACGGUCGCAAGAUUAAAACUCAAAGGAAUUGACGG
rnacentral:rRNA from 1 species